UACGGGGGGGGUAAGCGUUGUUCGGAAUUACUGGGCGUAAAGGGCUCGUAGGCGGCCAACUAAGUCAUACGUGAAAUCCCUCAGCUUAACUGGGGAACUGCGUGUGAUACUGGAUGGCUUGGAUUUGGGAGAGGGAUGCGGAAUUCCAGGUGUAGCGGUGAAAUGCGUAGAUAUUGGGAAGAACACCAGUGGCGAAGGCGGCUAUCUGGCCCGUUAUUGACGCUGAGGCGCGAAAGCGUGGGGAGCAAACAGG
rnacentral:rRNA from 1 species